UGAGCCUCCAACCCCGUGAACCCCAACAGGAACCUCCCCACAGGGCCACCCCCAACAAGGACACCGAUAUCGAACACAUGCCCCCGAACCCAAACGCCACGAAUCCCUUCCCCCACAGGGGAACACCCCCACAGGGGACAGUGGUUACCUCUUGAGGCGCUGGCUCCUAACCCCCUUUCCUCAGCCCCAGAGCGCAGAGCAGGUGCGCUUUACUACUGCCCAUACCUGUGUUCCGUUGGCCUUCUAAGAUGCUGGUGGCAGUGUGUGGAAGUGUCCAAGGAAUAUAACAGCAUUUGACUGAACACGUCCUCCAGAAGCACCUUGUGCAUGGGGCACACUGUUGCUGGGGACCUCGGUGCCGGUUGCCACAUUGCUCGGACUCUUGUCACUCGUAACUUUCCUGCCAACUCAAGAGGACCUGAGGACAUAGAGACAUUAGCCUACUGUGUCUGUACCUCUGAUUUACCAAUUUAAUACAAAUUAAACAGUGCUUUGCCUGGCAUCUGAGGUCUCA